rnacentral:tRNA from 1 species
GGGCCUAUAGCUCAGCGGUAGAGCCGAGGACUCAUAAUCCUUUGGUCCCAGGUUCGAAUCCUGGUGGGCCCA